rnacentral:rRNA from 1 species
UACAGAGGUCCCAAGCGUUGUUCGGAUUCAUUGGGCGUAAAGGGUGCGUAGGUGGCGCGCUAAGUCAGGUGUGAAAUUUCGGAGCUUAACUCCGAAACUGCAUUUGAUACUGGCGUGCUUGAGGACUGGAGAGGAGACUGGAAUUUACGGUGUAGCAGUGAAAUGCGUAGAGAUCGUAAGGAAGACCAGUGGCGAAGGCGGGUCUCUGGACAGUUCCUGACACUGAGGCACGAAGGCCAGGGAGCAAACGGG